UACGUAGGGCGCAAGCGUUGUCCGGAAUUAUUGGGCGUAAAGAGCUCGUAGGCGGUCCGUUAAGUCGGGAGUGAAAACCCGGGGCUCAACCCCGGGCUUGCUUUCGAUACGGGCAGACUAGAGUAUGGCAGGGGAGACUGGAAUUCCUGGUGUAGCGGUGAAAUGCGCAGAUAUCGGGAAGAACACCCGUGGCGAAGGCGGUUCUCUGGGACGGUACUGACGCUGAGACGCGAAAGCGUGGGGAGCGAACAGG
rnacentral:rRNA from 1 species